CGGCGGACGGGUGAGUAAUGUCUGGGAAACUGCCCGAUGGAGGGGGAUAACUACUGGAAACGGUAGCUAAUACCGCAUAACGUCGCAAGACCAAAGAGGGGACCUUCGGGCCUCUUGCCAUCGGAUGUGCCCAGAUGGGAUUAGCUAGUAGGUAAGGUAACGGCUUACCUAGGCGACGAUCCCUAGCUGGUCUGAGAGGAUGAUCAGCCACACUGGGACUGAGACACGGUCCAG
rnacentral:rRNA from 1 species